CUUAUUUUGAAGUAUACUAUCUAGCAAUCACCCAUUGAUAAUAUGCAUGAAACCAAUGUGAAGUUUCAAUACAGCGCCAAAUAUAAUUCAACGCCAACUGAAAAUAUUUAAGUGUAACCGGUGUCACAGGAAAUUUGCCUCCCCCCCUAAAAAUUUGGCACCCCCGGGGGCCAAAAUUGAUGCUAUGACAUUGAUGAAUGCAAUCAGAUGAGCUAUUCUGACGUUGCCAGGUUUACCACCUUUCUACUAUUUAGAAGUUGAAGUAUGCGAAAACUAUAUAAGACAAAAAGUGUUACUUUUCGAUCAAGGUGUUUCGAUCAACAAACUCCUUAAGUUUUCUUAUAGCUCCAAUAUUUUACCGCUGGCAAUGAAUUCAAUAUAUUUUCCCCAAUUUAAAUGCUCGUCAAUCUGAACUCCAAGCACUUUAGCAUGUUUC